ensembl:lncRNA
CUCGUUCAAUUCUGACGUCAACUUUCUUAUUUUUAUUCUAAUGUAAUAGAUGAGAAAGCAGUCUCUGGAUGGGGUAAUAACAUGUUGGACCUAAACUGGUGCUCCGCCCGUCAAUGAGUGUAGUCUGAAUUCCACCAGGAAGCAGCCACGCAACUUUUGACACGACAUUUCUCUUCUCUUGAUCUGGGGUUCUUCGUCUAUAAAAUAUAGGUGGGUGUAGAUCAUUUGAUUUUCUUCUCUAAUGCUCUUGGCAUCUUGCAACCAUUAACAAGGGCUUCAGGGGUGGCCCUGGCUCAAGACGAAACUCACCUGUCCGUAGUUUAGUUGCUUAAAAUUGUUCUAUUUUUACCCAAUAGUCUUUCUAUAUGCGUAUGGCUAUGUAUUUGAUUAUUCUGGUAAGAUUUGGUAUUAAAUGGUAUUUUCUUGAAGGUUGGCCCUCUGCUUUCAUUUAGGAGACUUCUGUGGAAAUUUCAAUCCUGGAAUAAAUGAGGCAGAGCCCUCAAGAUGUCUUCAUUGUCUUCACAUAUAUAGGAGAUGGUUGUAGGGCAUUUCUUCAGUCACAACAUUAACACUGACUUGGAGGUUAUUUAUCUUGCAUAUAGAAAUACAAUGAAGUUGCUGUCUGACUGUCAUCUUUGCAACACCAGUAAUAAUUAGAUUGGGAUAGGCUGACAAAGCAAAGGCUGGGUUGAGUGGAGAGGGCUGGGCCUUCAUUUGUCAGAGCAGCUGAACAACUUGCUUUGCAGAAGGCUGCUCCUCCCUGUACACUUAGGCCUCUGAGCAGUGCCCAGCCCCAAGAGCAGAGGGGAUUUCUUUAUUUAAAGAUUGUUAAUUAUUUCUAGGCUCAGGGGAGAAACCAACUAAUGAUAGGAGUCCUAAAGCUCAGGCCUGUGCAUGGUCAAAUCUCUCUGAAGUGAGGUUGUAUUGGACCAGCAUAUUUUGUUUUGUUUUAAUGAGUUUUAAAGUUUUUCCAGUCUAAGCAUUUCUCAUCUUCAUUCAUUCAUGUUAAUCUGCCUGUUCCCUGAAGGCAUUUGAGCUGUCGUCUCUGAAACAGGGGCCCCUAUCUGCUGUGCUUUCGUUGUGUGCUAAACAUUGUACAUAUAUCUUAUUUAUUCUCAAAACAGAACUGUGAGCUAGGUAUUAGCAUGUCCUGUUUACAAAUGAGUAAACUGAGGCUCAGAAGGACGAACUUACUGAAGGCAACAUAGCUAAUAAACAGCACCGUGGAUUGGCUGAGCAUCAGGCUGGAGCCUUAACAGGUCUCGAUUUGCUUGGAAACCUGUAAGGUGGCUCCAGUGCCUUUUGAAGAGAGUGUAUCAAGAGCCACUCGCUUCCACGACUUGAAUUUAUCCUUUCAGAUGAACAACAGAGACAACCGACUUGAUGAAUCACAGACAUCACCGUCUUCGAUCCUUAAAGGACCAAGAGUGCUACCAUCCGGCCUCCCCUGCACGGAUCCCCUUGAACUCACUGUGGGUAUUUCUGGAUCCGCGCCCUCCAAGCCAGUGGCAAAUUGAGCGUGUCCAUAAUGUGUCCUUAGUGAUUACUGAAGGAACUUUUCGGCGGAGAGAACACCGGGGAGAGGGCACCUCGCAGAGUAUCCAUCUUCAAAUAGCUGAGAAUCCAAGACAGAGUCGAUGUACGUCUAUGCUUCCGAUGGGCAAAGCCAGGCAGAGUAGGCCUGGUAGACGGGCUCCAGUUUAUCAGAGCUGCCCAUCCAUCCUCCUGCCAAGAACAUGCCCCGGGCGCCAGAUGCCUCCCCUGACGCCAAGCCCUAGGAUU